ACGGGGUGCAGCAGGCGCGAAAACUCCGCAAUGCACGAAAGUGUGACGGGGCUACCCCGAGUGCUCUCCGCUGAGGAAAGCUUUUCCUUGGUAUAACUAGCCAGGGGAAUAAGGAGAGGGCAAGACUGGUGUCAGCCGCCGCGGUAAUACCAGCUCUCCGAGUGGUAGGGAUGAUUAUUGGGCUUAAAGCGUCCGUAGCCGGCUUAGCAAGUCUCCUGUUAAACCCAGCGACUUAAUCGUUGAAUCGCGGGAGAUACUACUAGGCUAGGAGGCGGGAGAGGUCGACGGUACUUCCGGGGUAGGGGUGAAAUCCUAUAAUCCCGGGAGGACCACCAGUGGCGAAGGCUGUCGACUAGAACGCGCUCGACGGUGAGGGACGAAAGCUGGGGGAGCGAACCGGAUUAGAUACCCGGGUAGUCCCAGCUGUAAACGAUGCAGGCUAGGUGUUUGGACGGCCACGUGCCGUUCUAGUGCCGCAGGGAAGCUGUUAAGCCUGCCGCCUGGGGAGUACGAUCGCAAGAUUGAAACUUAAAGGAAUUGGCGGGGGAGCAC
rnacentral:rRNA from 1 species